CCAAGCUCAUCUAACCCGGACUUGGACACUUCCAGGGGUGAGGCAGCCACAGCUUCUCUGGGAAUUCCAUCCCAGCCCCUCCCCACCCUCUCAGGGGGGGAUUUCUCCCCAAUAUCUGCCCUAAACCUUCUGUUUUCUGGUUUAAAGUCACCUGUGCAGCGAGGGAAGCGACUCCCUUCUUCCCAGCCAGCUCUGGAACGAGGCUGCAGCCCCAAAAAUCCCCAAAUUGGGUGGAAAAACCGUAUAGAAAAAGUUGUUUGAGGCUCCUCACGUUUCUUUGAUACCCAGGGCUGUGCUGGGAGCAAGACCUGACAAGCCUCCGGUGUGGAUUCCAGCGGGAAGAAUCCAUUCCCAAAGCCGCAGCUUCCUGGUCCCUGAGGAGCCAAGCACGAGCAGCAGGUAAAGCUCCUGGGAUGUUUGUGGACCCGGAGCCGAGCGGGAGUCGCGUGGUCCCGAUGGAAUGGGAGGGACGGAAGGAGCCUGCGGUGGCCUGGCAGGCUCGGCUGUUUGGGACACUCUAAUUCAAGUAUUGUUGGAAACACCUUAAAUUGGGGCCUGAAGGGAAACAUGAACCUGGGAUCUCGUCGCCUCUGCUCGUGGGAUGAGAUGGAAAACCAGCUGAGGAUGUCGUUGGAAAGGGGCGAAGCCAACACUCCGCUCCCCCUGACAACAAAAACGUUACUUUUAAUCCCAAUUCUGGCAAAUAAAUGCCUGAGAUACCCCGGCAAGAUCUUUCCGGCGCCAGAUUCCGGGAUGACAUAAGGAAAUACAUCCCACUCCGGGUCGGACUAUCUUAAUUACAGUGAUUUUUCAGCUUGUACUUGAGCCGGCGCAGGGGGUGCGUGAGGCUCCUCCGGGCGUGGUUGUCGAAAUCCUCGGCCAGGCGGAAAUUCCGG